rnacentral:rRNA from 1 species
UCCGGAGGGGGCAAGCGUUGUUCGGAAUUACUGGGCGUAAAGCGCACGCAGGCGGAUGCUAAAGUCGGGGGUGAAAUCCCGGGGCUCAACCCCGGAACUGCCUCCGAUACUGGGUAUCUGGAGGAUGAGAGAGGCGAGUGGAAUUCCGAGUGUAGAGGUGAAAUUCGUAGAUAUUCGGAGGAACACCAGUGGCGAAGGCGGCUCGCUGGCUCAUUUCUGACGCUGAGGUGCGAAAGCGUGGGGAGAAAACAGG